AAAAGUGGGCGGGACAGUGUCAUGCGAUUCAAGUUUUCGUCGGGCUGAGCACUUAAAAUUUCCUUGUUGAAAGUCUGUAUAAAAUGAACGAGACAAUCGUUAUGAUAACAGCACUUUAACUCUUCCCUUAUCUUU
ensembl:ncRNA K09F5.9 ncRNA